rnacentral:tRNA from 1 species
GAGGGUAUAGCUCAAUGGUAGAGUAUGUGCUUAGCUUACACGAGGUCCUGGAUUCAAUCUCCAGUACCUCCA